AGCCUCAAGAGCUGAUCUGGUUCAUCCUUGGUGGGUUUAGCUCAGCUUUGGUUGAUCCCUGUUUGAGUCCAUCCCAGUUUUGUUGGGUUUAUCCCAGGUUUUGGUUAAUCCCAGGUUUUGGUUUAUCCCAGGUUUUGGUUAAUCCAAAUUUUGUUUGGUUUAUUCUUGGUUUUGGUUUAUCCCUGGUUUUGGUUAAUCCCAGGUUUUGGUUAAUCCCAGG
rnacentral:lncRNA from 1 species